CACAAAAUCAAUUUAGGGCCAAAAUAAGAAAAUGUAGAGACCAAAAGUGUAUUUGCAUCAUUAAAGAAAUCAUGCAUCAAGAGCAUAUAAAAUGGGUUGUGUUCAUGCAUCUUUCCGACGUUUGGAGCCUAUCAGUGAGAGUCAAAAGGUUAUGUAUAAUAUGUCAUACAUUGAAGACAGCUCACUACUAGAACUUCAAAAGGUUAUGUAUAAUAUGUCAGACAACUGUGUUUAAAAAGACACAGAUGGGAGAUACAUUCUAAACUUCCCAUGGAAAAUGCUGCCAGCUUCAAGUAAAUCACGUAUGGCUGUCAACCCUCAUAUUAUAAGAUACAUUCUAAACUCCCCAUGGAAAAUAAUGC